GAUGAAGAACGUAGCGAAAUGCGAUAAGUAAUGUGAAUUGCAGAAUUCAGUGAAUCAUCGAAUCUUUGAACGCACAUUGCGCCCGCCAGUAUUCUGGCGGGCAUGCCUGUCCGAGCGUCAUUUCAACCCUCGAACCCCUCCGGGGGGUCGGCGUUGGGGACCUCGGGAGCCCCUAAGACGGGAUCCCGGCCCCGAAAUACAGUGGCGGUCUCGCCGCAGCCUCUCCUGCGCAGUAGUUUGCACAACUCGCACCGGGAGCGCGGCGCGUCCACGUCCGUAAAACACCCAACUUCUGAAAUGUUGACCUCGGAUCAGGUAGGAAUACCCGCUGAACUUAAGUAUAUCAAUAAGCGGAGGA
rnacentral:misc_RNA from 1 species